rnacentral:rRNA from 1 species
UCGUCAUCGUAGGGUUAGUCGGGACCUAAGUCGAGUCCGAAAGGGGUAGACGAUGGCAAAUCGGUUAAUAUUCCGAUACCGACGGUUGUUCGUUUGAGUGGUGGGGGGACGCAUAGAGUUAAUUGAGCUCACUGAUGGAAUAGUGGGUCGAAGGACGUAGGUCGUAAAGUAGGAAAAUCCGCUUUACAUGAGACCGAGAUCCUACAGGCAGACCAAUCUCUUCGGAGAGCGGUUUGAAUCAAUGAUACUGUCGUGCCGAGAAAAGCCUCUAAACGAGAACAACCGUUGCCCGUACCGUAAACCGACACAGGUGGGUGAGAUGAGUAUUCUAAGGCGCGUGGAAGAACCCUGGUUAAGGAACUCUGCAAACUAGCACCGUAUCUUCGGUAUAAGGUGUGCCCUAUUUGUUAACAGAUUUACUCUGUGAAGCAUUGACGGGUCGUAGCAAAGUGUCCCUCCCGACUGUUUAC